AGUUCAAGUUUAAAUUUAAAUUGAAAUAUGGCUAAAAACGCGUGCGAAUUUAGUUCAGGUGAAUCCGAAGGAAACCACCAUGCGCCGCCGCGUCGGAAAUUGCUUCCGGCGGUGAUGGCCGUCGAAACUACAAAUUGGACGUACCACUCUACUCAUCUCCUCACGCUCUCCAUGAAUCUCCCUUCUAUUUCUCAAGAUUCUAGCUAGAAGUCCUUAACCGCGACGAAAAUUCGAAGAACCCUAAUUUUCUAUAACUAAAAUUAGACGCGUCUCUCAGAGAAUCAGAGCCCGAGAGAUUAGGCCUCUGAUUCACCUAUCUCUCCUCUACAUCACGGCGACAACGAAUUGAAUGGAAAAAAAAGAUUUGAAGUUCACCUUGCCGGAGACUGCAACGGUGACCACGACGACGAAAUCUCUAUGUCCAGACUUGAUGGUGGUUGAAUAUGACAUGGCUUCAUGGAUGGUUUUGGUAGCUUGUAAUGGAUGUUGAUUGAAUUGUGUGCUUUAUUGGUUGAUGGCAAGAUAUGGUUAAGGCAUGGGAUGUCCUGCUACAAGAGCAAUAUCUGGAGUGGUUUUAUGAGUCAUGAAAAUUCGGCUAGAUGUUGCAGAAUCCUCCUAAUGGAGAUGUUUUUUGUCAUGUUUAUGUUCUGUCCUGUUAUCAAGUUAGAUAGGUCUUACAUUGUUUGUAGGCUGGCUUGCCAUUCUUUCCUUUAUGGAAGAAGCCAUUGCCAUAAAUACAUGUUCGACAUUUUUAGAAUCCUUUGCACUAGUCUCCAUAAAAGGUAUGCCUAUUUCAUCUGCAAAUGCUUUAGCUGUUUGAUAUGGCACUGCUUUAUUUUCUGUCAUAUCACACUUGUUGCCAACCAAGAGCUUGUUAACAUUAUGACUAGCAUAUCGGUCAAUUUUAUUGAGCCGUUGCUUCACAUUAUUGAAGCUCUCUUCAUCUGUCACAUCAUAAACAAUAAUGAUUCCAUGUGCCCCACGGUAGCAGCUACUGGUGAUUGUCCUAAAUCGUUCCUGGCCACCUGUAUCCCAAAUCUGGAGCUUAAUAUAAUAGCCUUUCCAUCCUGUUCAACGGUGCGGAUUUUAAAAUCAACUCCAAUGGUGCUUAUGUAGCUAUCACAGAAGGAAUGGUGAGGAUUAUGUGAUUGAACGAGAGGAACCAAAAUGCUUUGUAUGACAUUGUUAGAUGGCUUUUUGCCUCACUAGAUGAAUCCACAAAAAUAAUCUUCAUGAACCAAAGAAUGCCAUGGCCUAAUAUGAUUCAAAAAUGGGAAACGGGAAAUUAGGGUUAAGAUUGGGAUAGGGAUUUGGGGUUUGGAUAAUUUGGUUGACUUUGGUCAAAGUUGACCAAAAAGUCAAUUGUUGACCAAAGUCAACAUUUGGUUAAAACUUCAUUUUUUGUGUUUUUCUUCAUGCAAUGGAUAUUUAUUUGAUUUUUGUAAUGAUUAGCAUUGGUAAUUUGAA